UCACUUCUUUGCUCACAGGUGGUACCUGCUGUGUGCUGGAGCAUCCCAGACUCCUCCAUGGUGCUGACCACAGCCGAGCAGCCCUGGCAUGAGCAGCAGAGUGGAGGUGGCACAGAGGAGACCAGGGAAUGUGCUCUGGCACAGAGAAAGCUUUCCUGUGUUCUGGAGAAGUGGAGGCAAGGAUCCUGCCUCACAGCCCUGCUCUGCAUCAGCCUCCCAGGCAGGAGCUGUGGCUGCCAUGUGGAGGAAUCCCCAGUGAUGGAUCACUGCUGGUGAGGACACUCGAGACCAGACGAGUCUGAUGGGCAGUGGAGAACUUGUCUAUGCCCCGGGUCUGUUCAGGGUCUGGCAGGAGGGACAGCAGAGCCCCCACAGACCCCAGCUCAUCUUCUCCAUCCCUCCAGCAGCAGGGCACGACAGAUCCUUCCCCUGACCACUUAAAGUCUUUCAGGAUGUGAGGAUGACAGUUGCAGCUUCAGUCCCGGGUGGCUGCUGACCCUCUGCACACCCGGGGGUCCCACAUUCCACAGGAAUCUCUGGCUCUGGGAUAUUUGUGACAGGAGGAGGAGAAGGAGGUGGUGGCUGCUGCAGCGAGAGCGACGGGGCCGCUGAGAAGCAGAGGCUGUGAGCUGGUAUUAACAGUGAGGCCAAUUAAGGAGACCAGGAAUUAAGUCAGUCUGAUACCUGUUUGGGCUCUUCCAGCUUCUCUCCUGCAUGGGCUGCUGCUCCAGAGCACAGGAGAGUGUCUGCCCAGAGCCUCUGUCCAGGAACAGCCCUGUGGUGGCAGGAAUGCUCUGCCCAUGGGCACAGGCCAGCACAGCCAGGGCAGGAGCCCGGCGAUGAAACAUCCAGUGUGGGCCUGGCACUUCCUUGGAUAAAGCUCUUGCAAGGGACAGAUCACCUGAGGCAUCAACAGCUGCUUUGAACUUGGCAGCUUCCUCACCUGGAAAAAGCCCCAGGAGCACUUGGGAGCUCUGGCUGGCCGCCUGCCUUGCCCUGGGAUCCCUGGAGAGGCUGGAGGACUGAUCCUAGUGCUGCCAGCACAGGGCAGGGUUGGAAUGAGGGGACAGCUGUGGCUGCUCUUGCCUGUCCCAGCAGGGCUGUCCCCUGCAGUCACACUGCUCUGGGGAGGGAGAGGGUGAGCUGGGCUCCCAGGGCUCCUGGCGCUCCCUGGGCUGCUCCUGGGAGGUGCACGAUCCUAACACUCGAUUCCUAGAAAUCGCUGCCAGCCUGUGGGAGCUCUGGGAAGCAGCAGGGUCACGCCAGGGCUGUUGAGUUGGUCCCAGGCACUGUGCCACGUCUCGGGAAGGAUGAGGAAGGACCAGGAGGGCUGAGGGUUCACAGCAGCCUGGUCUGGAGGAGGCUGCUGGGGGGAGGGCCUGGGUCGUGGUUUGACCCCAGUCCUCCUCUGCCACUGCCCCUUCUUAAAAACAGGAAAGAAUUAAAUCCUGUCAGUGGCUUUUAAAAGCCAACUGAAAGUGUCCUUUAUUAAAUUACCACCCUAUUGAUCUCGGAGCCAUCCAGGAGGGGAUUGACUGAGGGCUUAAACAGCCGGGCAGCCGGGCCAGACGCUCAAUUAAUGUGCAUAAACGGGCAGUGGAGAAGCAAUUUUCAGAACAAGUCAAGCAAAAGAUCAGACCUGCUUUGCCUUCCAUGCCGAAGUUGUUUCUGUAUUUAUUUUCAUGUUAUUUCAUCUGUUUUUCCCCCUGUCCCUCUUAUGAUAAGCAGAGUGUUGAGAGGCAGCUCUCAGAGCACAGCCCGCUCUGCCCAGAGCACGUUGGCAGGAGGGGUGGGGGAAGCCACAUCCCUCGAAGGACUCAUCCCUCAGGGGGCUUUUAGCCACGUAAAUCCCAGGUUUCACACAUGAGGGGGUUUUUAGCUGUGUAAAUCCCAGGUUCUUCUUUAAUUCCUGCAGAGAAGGCCCUGUGCAGCAUCAGACCCGGCGCCUGGUCUGAGCAUUGAUGUCUCUGAUGAACCUUGAAUUCCUCUUCCAGGUCUGGGGAAGAAUUUUGUGAAGAAACCCCUGUUUCUUGAUUGUCUCCUCCCAGCUGUUCACCAUGUGAUAAUUCCAGCUGCCUGCCAGGGGCAAAGCCACCCAUGGAUGUACAAAUAUCCAGCUUUGCUCUGGCCUUUCCUGUGGAUGCUCCAAGGAACCUGCAGAUGGGACUGAAGCAGAGGACACUCUGGAAGGCAAAUCCCUGCUCUGCACAUGAGAGCAAACCAGAGCCCUGUGUGGGUUUUUCUCGAGAUUUAGCAAGAAUCCUGAUAAGAAACUCUGGCUCCAGGGCUGUCAGUCCAGCUCCCCCAGCUCCAGGGCUUUGCUCCUCGUCUCCCUUAAGCCAGAGGGCUCAGCUCCAUGGCUUGACUGACACGAAGCGUUCCAGCAUCAGAGACUGAGAGACAAACGAGCAAUUUGCCGAGAAAUUAUCCUUUGGGAUUCCUCUUCUCUCCAGUUGGUUUAAUUGGGUGAGCUCAGGGUGGCUUUAAUUGCUGUGCUCCAAGCACAGCUUCACCCCCUCCUUGCUUUUUUGUCUCCCAUCUCUCUCCUUCCCCCUCCUCCUUCCCAGCACCAUUUAUCUUCUUCCUCCUACAGCGUCUCCCCUUCUUGUUUUUUCCCCAAUAUCUCUUGGGAAUGGUGACAAGCUGAAAUGUUGUUUGAGUCUCUCCUGGCUGACAGGUUCUUUAAGAAUCUGGUGCUUCUCAGAGGGUGAUGGACUGGCUCGGGGAUCCCUUGGAUUCCCCGGGGGUUUGGGGUGGCUGUGGCAGGGAGUGG